rnacentral:rRNA from 1 species
AGUGGGUAGUCCGCACGAGCGCACCUUACUUUUAGUUGCCACCAUUUAGUUGAGCACUCUAAAAGAACUGCCAGUGAUAAGCUGGAGGAAGGCGGGGAUGACGUCAAGUCCUCAUGGCCCUUACGUGUUGGGCUACACACGUGCUACAAUGGCAUUUACAAUGAGAUGCAAAGAGGCGACUCCAAGCAAAUCUUGAAAAAAUGCCUCAGUUCGGAUUGUACUCUGCAACUCGAGUACAUGAAGCUGGAAUUGCUAGUAAUCGCGGAUCAGCGCGCCGCGGUGAAUACGUUCCCGGGUCUUGUACACACCGCCCGUCACACCAUGGAAGUUGGUUACACCUGAAGGCAAAACGUAAAACUUUUGACUACGGUACGAUCAGCGACUGGGGUGAAGUCGUAACAAGGUAGCCGUAGGGGAACCUGCGGCUGGAUCACCUCCUUUCU